GGACGAACGCUGGCGGCACGCCUAACACAUGCAAGUCGAACGGUGUUGUUAGAGUUACUUGGACAACAUAGUGGCGGACGGGUGAGUAACACGUGAGCAACCUGCCGUUUUGGCGAGGGAUAGCUUCUGGAAACGGAUGGUAAUACCUCAUAACAUAUCAUUAUCGCAUGAUUUUGAUAUCAAAGAAUUUCGCCAAAAAGAUGGGCUCGCGUCUGAUUAGAUAGUUGGUGAGGUAACGGCUCACCAAGUCGACGAUCAGUAGCCGGACUGAGAGGUUGAACGGCCACAUUGGGACUGAGACACGGCCCAGACUCCUACGGGAGGCAGCAGUGAGGGAUAUUGCACAAUGGGGGAAACCCUGAUGCAGCGAUGCCGCGUGGAGGAAGAAGGUUUUCGGAUUGUAAACUCCUGUUUCGAGGGACGAUAAUGACGGUACCUCGGGAGGAAGCUCCGGCUAACUACGUGCCAGCCGCGGC
rnacentral:rRNA from 1 species